rnacentral:rRNA from 1 species
CCUACGGGAGGCAGCAGUGAGGAAUAUUGGUCAAUGGACGAGAGUCUGAACCAGCCAAGUAGCGUGAAGGAUGACUGCCCUAUGGGUUGUAAACUUCUUUUAUAUGGGAAUAAAAUAGGGCAUGCAUACCCUCUUGUAUGUACCAUAUGAAUAAGGAUCGGCUAACUCCGUGCCAGCAGCCGCGGUAAUACGGAGGAUCCGAGCGUUAUCCGGAUUUAUUGGGUUUAAAGGGAGCGUAGGUGGAUGGUUAAGUCAGUUGUGAAAGUUUGCGGCUCAACCGUAAAAUUGCAGUUGAAACUGGCAGGCUUGAGUACAGUAGAGGUGGGCGGAAUUCGUGGUGUAGCGGUGAAAUGCUUAGAUAUCACGAAGAACUCCGAUUGCGAAGGCAGCUCACUGGACUGCAACUGACACUGAUGCUCGAAAGUGUGGGUAUCAAACAGGAUUAGAUACCCCUGUAGUC